rnacentral:rRNA from 1 species
UACGUAGGGGGCUAGCGUUAUCCGGAAUUACUGGGCGUAAAGGGUGCGUAGGUGGUUUCUUAAGUCAGAGGUGAAAGGCUACGGCUCAACCGUAGUAAGCCUUUGAAACUGGGAAACUUGAGUGCAGGAGAGGAGAGUGGAAUUCCUAGUGUAGCGGUGAAAUGCGUAGAUAUUAGGAGGAACACCAGUUGCGAAGGCGGAUCUCUGGACUGUAACUGACACUGAGGCACGAAAGCGUGGGGAGCAAACAGGAUUAGAUACCCCGGUAGUCCCUGAGCGGG